CCUGAGUAGAGUGGCGCACGGGUGAGUAAUGCAUCGGAACGUGUCCUGUAGUGGGGGAUAACCUAGCGAAAGCUAGGCUAAUACCGCAUACGUCCUACGGGAGAAAGCAGGGGAUCUUCGGACCUUGCGCUAUUGGAUGAGCCCAAGUCAGAUUAGCUAGUUGGUGAGGUAAUGGCUCACCAAGGCGACGAUCUGUAGCUGGUCUGAGAGGAUGAUCAGCCACACUGGGACUGAGACACGGCCCAGACUCC
rnacentral:rRNA from 1 species